rnacentral:rRNA from 1 species
ACGAGCGGCGGACGGGUGAGUAACGCGUAGGAAUCUACCUAGUAGAAGGGGAUAGCCCGAGGAAACUCGGAUUAAUACCGUAUACGUCCUUAGGGAGAAAGAGGGCUCAGCUUUGAUGCUCUCGCUAUUAGAUGAGCCUGCGUAAGAUUAGCUUGUUGGUGAGGUAAAGGCUCACCAAGGCGACGAUCUUUAGCUGGUCUGAGAGGACGAUCAGCCACAUUGGGACUGAGACACGGCCCAGACUCCUACGGGAGGCAGCAGUGGGGAAUAUUGGACAAUGGGCGCAAGCCUGAUCCAGCCAUACCGCGUGUGUGAAGAAGGCCUUCGGGUUGUAAAGCACUUUAAGUAAGGAAGAAAAGAUUAUUGUUAAUACCAAUACUCCGUGACAUUACUUACAGAAUAAGGACCGGCUAAUUCCGUGCCAGCAGCCGCGGUAAUACGGAAGGUCCAAGCGUUAAUCGGAAUUACUGGGCGUAAAGCGCGCGUAGGUGGUUUAUUAAGUUGGGUGUGAAAGCCCCGGGCUCAACCUGGGAACUGCAUCCAAAACUGAUUCACUAGAGUACGAAAGAGGAAAGUAGAAUUCACAGUGUAGCGGUGGAAUGCGUAGAUAUUGUGAAGAAUACCGAUGGCGAAGGCAGCUUUCUGGUUCUGUACUGACACUGAGGUGCGAAAGCGUGGGUAGCGAACAGGAUUAGAUACCCUGGUAGU